CUUUAGAACUGGUGUUAUGUGCUCUAACUUCCUGGUUUUAGUGAGAAUGCCAGCAGCAGCGUUCUGGAGCAGCUGCAGCUGUCUGAUUUUUUUUAGGUAGACCUGUGAAAACGCUGUUGUAGUGAUCAAUAUGACUAAAGAUAAACACAUAGAUGAGUUUUUCUAGAUCUGGCUGAGACAUUAGUCCUAUAAUCCUGGAAAUGUUCUUCAGGUGUAACUGCUUAUGCUAAGUGUUGUCACAUACUUGUUGAAUCCAUAUAUAACCCAUAUCUGUGUUACUAACAGAGGUGACUGGAAUACUGUUGUGUGUCAGUAGUAGAGGUACUUGGCUCUACUCGAUACAAAAAUAAAAUAAAAUUUCAAGAAACUGAACUAUCAAUCUUAUCCCAUUAGUAUCGAUCUGACAUUGACUUGACACCAACUCAGACAAGGACCUGACGAGGAACAAGGGACACAGGUGGGGUUAAAUACACAGGGAGUAAUCAAGGAAACAAGACACACCAGGGAGCAAUCAAAGGGGUAAGAGAGGA